CUGCAGAGAGAAAAUAGAAAUUGCCAAGGCAAAUAUCUCCUUAGAAAUCUGUGAUUUGAAUGAUUUAAAGAGAAGACGAAAUUGAGUUUUUCCAGGAAUUUGGUCCAAUGGGAGAAGACACAUAAAUUAAAAAUUACAAACGAUGCUAACAGCGGUAAUUUACCAGCCUGAUGGAGGCAGCUUAAACAAACACACGACCGGAGUGGCGCAGGAGUUAUAAAGUG
rnacentral:lncRNA from 10 species